UACGAAGGGGGCUAGCGUUGCUCGGAAUCACUGGGCGUAAAGCGCACGUAGGCGGCUUUUUAAGUCAGGGGUGAAAUCCUGGAGCUCAACUCCAGAACUGCCUUUGAUACUGAGAAGCUUGAGUCCGGGAGAGGUGAGUGGAACUGCGAGUGUAGAGGUGAAAUUCGUAGAUAUUCGGAGGAACACCAGUGGCGAAGGCGGCUCACUGGUCCGGUACUGACGCUGAGGUGCGAAAGCGUGGGGAGCAAACAGG
rnacentral:rRNA from 1 species